GACUGAAAAAGGACAGGUAUUUUGAUCUAGAAAUGGCAUUGCUAUUUCACUGCUGUUGGUUUCACACUGCCUUCCACAUUGCAACAGCAACCUAAUUUUUCUUGUGAUCCCAGAAUUUUCUAAGAGAGUGAGUUGAACCUGUAGCAACACCGUCAGUACAAACUAGUGGUUCUCAAACUUCAGGAUGUCUCACAACCACCUGGGAGCUUACUGACGUGCAGGUUCCAGGUACUCAGUAAAUCUCCUGUGAGCCGCGGGAACCUGCAUCUUCCAACAAGCAUUCAGGUGGCUCUGAGGCGGCGACCUGGGGGCAAUCGUGGAGGAACACUGCCCAAGCCCAUCCAUUGCGUUUUUGUUCCUAAACACCUAUGGAGUUUUCUAGGGUUUUCAAUCAUGUAAAAUGUUUACUUACUCUGAGCUUAGAGAGAAUGGGGAAGGUGUUUUAAAGUUUGUUUCUUUAAAUGUGUCUUUGUUUCAGGAUUGUGGGUGUUAGUUUACACGUAUCUUGGGUUAGCUUUGACGUUAAGGUAAAUCUGUUGCCGCUUCAGUUUUUAAGCCAGCCAAAAGUGUCCGAUAAAGGUCACGUUUGACCCUUUAGCAGUUACUGUACAUAAAGGCUUCAUCCAAAAACCACCCCGUGUGUGUGAGCAAGUACAGAAGUGGCGCCCAAGCACAACCCGCGAGGUGCGGCAGCCCUUUCCGCGCCGGCGUGCGGACCUCGCCGGAAGCUGCUCUUUGCCUCCUCCUCGGAACUGGUUUUCUUGUUUUUCCUCUGUUGUACAUGUGGGUUAUAUACCAUGUGUUAAAUAUGCAAUAAAGUGUUUACCGGAUGCCCUUCUGAAGGGUGGUCCUUUGUAAAGCUGUACAGACUUUGCAGUUUAAGCACAAUGUGCACAUGUUAGUUUUAUAUACAGCAAAACUUGAUUUUUUGCAGAUGGAAAGGUAUUUUGUUUCUAUACAAAGUAAAUGGAUUGUUUGUGCUUAAUGUAAAGCUGCUUUAUAAAAUUGUAAAAUAAAGUUUUUAUCUUAAAAGGAA